AUUUUUUUGUCGAAUUUGAAACGUCCGCUAAUCGUCCCGUUUGAUGUGAUUAAUAUCAAAUACGAGACUCUGCAGAUGCGAGGAAUGUGAAGCAGAUGGCUCAGAUUAAUACGAGAAUCACUGAAGACAGACGUGUUCGUAGUUGUCGCCGUGAGAAUCUGAAAUCUGAUUCGGUGCAAUAGGCAGACCCCAGCCAGGAAACGUUUGAGGAAGGCUGGUGGGGAGAGACAGACAGAUAAGAGGAACAAGUGGUAUUAUGAAGAAUGGUAAAGGAGGGUGGAAUCAAAGGUUAAGUCUAACUAACGUUUUUCACGUAACAGUGGAGUUCAAAGAGGGUACUUGAGGAGGAAAGGGUUUGGAGGAAGCAGUGUUCGUAAAUAGGGUGAGGUUUGUUGGGGUGUGGGUGAAACAGGUUAGGGUCAAGGCUAAAUCAGACAGGUCUUGUGAUGGUGAAGGUGCUGGAACGCUCAGAUGAAGCAUGAAAUCUAGUAUCUCAUUUGGGUGUUAGUAGUGAAUGUGUAAUUUUUGUACUGCCUUGCUGAGUAACAUUAAAGUUCACCGUUUCCGCUUAA